rnacentral:rRNA from 1 species
AGUAACACGUGGGUAACCUGCCUUAUAGUGGGGGAUAGCCUUUCGAAAGGAAGAUUAAUACCGCAUAAGAUUGUAGUAUCGCAUGAUAUAGCAAUUAAAGGAGCAAUUCGCUAUAAGAUGGACCCGCGUCGCAUUAGCUAGUUGGUGAGGUAAUGGCUCACCAAGGCGACGAUGCGUAGCCGACCUGAGAGGGUGAUCGGCCACAUUGGGACUGAGACACGGCCCAGACUCCUACGGGAGGCAGAUG